AUCCAACUGACGAAUCCCAGACAGGACGAGACGCCGCGUCCUGGAU
rnacentral:hammerhead_ribozyme from 1 species